rnacentral:rRNA from 1 species
UGCAAGUCGAACGCGAAAGUCCCGCAAGGGAUUAGUAGAGUGGCAAACGGGUGAGUAACACGUGGGUGACCUGCCUUAGAGUGGGGGAUAACGUCCCGAAAGGGACGCUAAUACCGCAUAACAUCCUGCCUUUUAAGAGGUGGAAAUCAAAGCCUGGGACCGCAAGGCCAGGCGCUUGAAGAGGGGCCCGCGUCUGAUUAGCUAGUUGGUGGGGUAAUGGCUCACCAAGGCAACGAUCAGUAUCCGGCCUGAGAGGGCGGACGGACACACUGGGACUGAGACACGGCCCAGACUCCUACGGGAGGCAGCAGUGGGGAAUUGUUCGCAAUGGGCGCAAGCCUGACGACGCAACGCCGCGUGGAGGAUGAAGAUCUUCGGGUCGUAAACUCCUUUCGAUCGAGACGAAUGGCCUCCGGGUGAAUAAUCUGGAGGAGUGACGGUACCGAGAGAAGAAGCCCCGGCUAACUCCGUGCCAGCAGCCGCGGUAAUACGGGGGGGGGCAAGCGUUGUUCGGAAUUACUGGGCGUAAAGGGCUCGUAGGUGGCCAACUAAGUCAGACGUGAAAUCCCUCGGCUUAACCGGGGAACUGCAUCUGAUACUGGAUGGCUUGAGUUUGGGAGAGGGACGCGGAAUUCCAGGUGUAGCGGUGAAAUGCGUAGAUAUCUGGAGGAACACCGGUGGCGAAGGCGGCGUCCUGGACCAACACUGACACUGAUGAGCGAAAGCCAGGGGAGCAAACGGGAUUAGAUACCCCGGUAGUCCUGGCCCUAAACGAUGAAUGCUUGGUGUGGCGGGUAUCGAUCCCUGCCGUGCCGAAGCUAACGCAUUAAGCAU